UACGGAGGGUGCAAGCGUUAUCCGGAUUCACUGGGUUUAAAGGGCGCGUAGGUGGCCCGGUCAGUCUUUGGUGAAAGCGCGGGGCUCAACCCUGCGUCGGCCAGGGAUACUGCCGCGGCUCGAGCACUGUAGAGGCAGGCGGAAUUCCGGGUGUAGCGGUGGAAUGCGUAGAGAUCCGGAAGAACACCGGUGGCGAAGGCGGCCUGCUGGGCAGUUGCUGACACUGAGGCGCGACAGCGUGGGGAGCAAAAGGG
rnacentral:rRNA from 1 species